AGAUAAAAAAAUCAUUUUGAUAAUGAAACUUUUUGUUAGAUUUGGAAUAUUUUCGUUGAUUCUAACUUUACUCUAUAUCUUGAUAGUUUUAGAUAACUCAGAGAAUUACUUACUAUGUGGCAACAAAGAAACCUGGAGCCCUGAAAAAAUAUCAAGCCUGAAAAAUCAAUCUAACCCUGAACCAGGAAACAAAAUAAAGACUAAUCCAGUUCACAAAAUUGUUCAUGAAGAUGUUUACCCUACCGGGGUUAGGAUUAUAGAUCUUCAAAACUUCACUCUCAAAAUAAACUUUGACAUUUGCAAUGUUUCCAAAAUAGCUCUUGUUGUUUUGGUUCAUUCCUCUCCAAAUAAUCUAGAGAGAAGAUCAAAUAUAAGGUUAGGAAUCGACCGUGGAAAA